rnacentral:rRNA from 1 species
GCCCGUCGCUCCUACCGAUUGGAUGACUCGGUGAAAUCACCGGAUGCUUACGAGCAGAAAGUGAUUAAAUCACGUUAUCUAGAGGAAGGAGAAGUCGUAACAAGGUAACGGUAGGUGAACCUGCCGUUGGAUCAGUUCUAGUUUUAAUAACUAACACCAACUUCUUUAUAAACAAAACAUACAAAUUAAAACUACUUCAUCAAAA